CGAAGACCCUGGUCCUCUUUGACACCAUCAGUUCGCCAGAUGGACAAGUUGUGUGUUGCCCUCAUCACAGUCAUAUGGGCUGAUUCCUCCAGUCAGGAUGGGAUCUCUGGAUCUGAGGUGGUUCUGUUAGUCAGACCAGGAGACAACAUCACUCUGUACUGUGACUGCAGAAUAUCCCCUGGUGUAUUCAUCACAUGGUUCAGGAACUGUUCUCAUGAGCACCAACCUACCCUGGUUAUUAGCAUUUCCCGGAAUUUAGAAUCUCUAAAAAUGUAUCCUGGGAUUACAACAUUGUGGAAUCCCUCUAACAACACCUAUGACCUACUGAUUGAGAACAUCACUGAAUCUGACCUAGGACUCUACUACUGUGGGACUAAAGAGACUAAGGUGGUGGAUGAAGGAGGGAAAGGAGGUAUUAAACAGAAGGUGUUGUACCUCUAUGGAAACGUCACCUAUAGACUUUCAUUUGAGGUCAUCCCAGAGGUCAUCCAAGUGACUGAAGACUGUGGUCUGUGUUGGAUUCUGAUGUUCAGUCUGUGUCCUGUGUCUGUUCUCCUCUCUUCUCUCCUCUCCUCCUUCUGUGUUUACUCCUUCUGCAGAAAAACAGCUCCAAAUGAGACUUCAGUUCCUCUGAACAGGACGUCGACCAGGGGAAGUGACAUUAGAGAGAAGGUACUGUGUCCAAACCAGACUGGGUGUUUUAAUUAUAUGAUGGAUGAACAUUUAGAUUAUAACACUUUGUAAACCAGUCCUAUUUUGAUCAGCAUAAUGUAAAAUAAUUCAAAAGCAAAGGAACAAGCAAAAUGAAUGACACACAAAACUUGAAGACAAAACAUCUCUUUUUCUCAGGAGGAAGAAGACCUGUGUUAUGCCUCAUUGGACAUCCGUCAGGGACAGAAGAGACCAAAGAAGAAGAAUAAAAUCCAGAACUCUGACCUCAGUACCUACUCAGCCAUCAAUACCAUGAGAGUGUGACCUCUACCAGCCAUCAAUACCAUAAGAGUGUGACCUAUACCAGCCACAAUACCAGCAGACUGUGACCUACACCAGCCAUCAAUACUAGCAGACUGUGACCUCUACCAGCCAUCAAAACCAUGAGAGUGUGACCUAUACCAGCCACAAUACCAGCAGACUGUGACCUAUACCAGCCAUCAAUACUAGCCGACUGUGACCUCUACCAGCCAUCAAUACCAUGAGAGUGUGACCUAUACCAGCCAUCAAUACCAGCAGACUUUGUCAUAUACCAGCCAUCAAUACCAUCAGUGUGACCUAUACCAGCCAUCUGGGAGAGUGUGACCUAAACCAGCUAGAAGUGGACUGGUCACCACUCUGAGCCUGGGUCCUCUCUAGGUUUCUUCCUAAAUGUUUGCCUUCUUAGGGAGUUUUUCUUAGCCACUGAAAUUCAACACUACUGUUGUUUGCUCUUUCGGGUUUAAGGCCAGGUGUUUUUGUAAAAAGCCCUUUGUGACAACUGCUGUUGUAAAAAGGGCUUUAUAAAUACAUUUGAUUGAUUGAUCAAUACCAGCAGAGUGAAUUGUACCAGCCAUCAAUACCAGCAGAAUGACAUGUACCAGCCAUCAAUACUAGUAAUAUGUGAGAACUAUACAAUUCAAUAGAAACUCUUAUACAUACGAGCCCCUGGUGUCUCUAACUGAUUUACUAUGUAACUCUGUGUGAUUUUCUCUGCCUCUCCAGUCUUUUCAUGGUAUUGAACUCAUGGGUUUGAGCCUCAGUGUUAAAUCUCUGAUGAAACUGUUGUCCUUUAGUUUCAUCACAUCAUCAAUAGCAGGUCCUCUAUAUUCUCUCUCUGUUACCAAUGUUUUGUUUUAAACGUGAGCUUUCAAUUACUUUGCAACACAAUAUGUUUUUAUAAUUUGCAAAUGUCUACCAACCGAUAAUAGUAUUCUUUUAGAUAUUACAUUAAGAAACAUUUUAUGAUCUGUAUUUUGAGAAUAUACCUUCAGAAGCUAAUCUUUUUAUAUAAAAU
rnacentral:lncRNA from 1 species